AUGCUUUCUUCACCAGCUUAAACACUAAAGUUGGAACGAUGCAGAGAUUAUCAUGACCCCUGCCCAAGAAUGACACACCAAUUCAUGAAGCAUUCCAUCUUUUU